AUGAUUGCUCUUAUCGGUAUAGCUCCUACCGAGGCUGAGGCUGAUGUAGAGGAGGGAGAAGAGAAGAAGAAGAGGGAAAAGAAAGCAGCCGGAGCUGCUUUCACGUGGAUUCAAAAUAACUUUGCGAUGUGCCCUCCGGAUGCCACUGAUGAUGUGAUCCAGACACAUGCUCGUGUGUAUAUGUGGUACGUUGUGUCGAGGACUUUGUUUCCUGACUCCACUGGCAAGAACGCUCCAUGGAUGUGGCUGAAGGCGUUGACCGUCUUCGAUAGCAAAUGGAGCUGGGGUUCAGCGACUCUUGCCUACUUGUACUGA
rnacentral:rRNA from 1 species